rnacentral:rRNA from 1 species
AGAGUUUGAUCCUGGCUCAGAUUGAACGCUGGCGGCAUGCCUAACACAUGCAAGUCGAACGGUAACGCGGAGAGCUUGCUCUCUGGCGACGAGUGGCGGACGGGUGAGUAAUACUUAGGAAUCUGCCCAAUAGUGGGGGACAACAUGAGGAUACUCGAGCUAAUACCGCAUACGCCCUACGGGGGAAAGCGGGGGAUCUUCGGACCUCGCGCUAUUGGAUGAGCCUAAGUCGGAUUAGCUUGUUGGUGAGGUAAAGGCUCACCAAGGCGACGAUCCGUAGCUGGUCUGAGAGGACGAUCAGCCACACUGGGACUGAGACACGGCCCAGACUCCUACGUGAGGCAGCAGUGGGGAAUUUUGGACAAUGGGCGCAAGCCUGAUCCAGCAAUGCCGCGUGUGUGAAGAAGGCCUGCGGGUUGUAAAGCACUUUCAGUAGAGAAGAAAAGCCUACGGUUAAUAGCCGUGAGUCUUGACGUAACCUACAGAAGAAGCACCGGCUAACUCCGUGCCAGCAGCCACGGUAGUACGGAGGGUGCAAGCGUUAAUUGGAAUUACUGCGCGAAAAGCGCGCGUAGGCGGUUAAUUAAGUCAGAUGUGAACGCCCCGGGCUCAACCUGGGCACUGCAUUUGAAACUGGUUAACUAGAGUGUGGUAGAGGAGCGUGGAAUUUCAGGUGUAGCGGUGAAAUGCGUAGAGAUGUGAAGGAACCCCAGUGGCGAAGACGGCUCUCUGGACCAACACUGACGCUGAGGUGCGAAAGCGUGGGUAGCAAACGGGAUUAGAUCCCCCGGUAGUCCACGCCGUAAACGAUGUCAACUAACUGUUGGGCGGGUUUCCGCUUAGUGGUGCGCAGCUAACGCACUAAGUUGACCGCCUGGGGAGUACGGCCGCAAGGUUAAAACUCAAAUGAAUUGACGGGGGCCCGCACAAGCGGUGGAGCAUGUGGUUUAAUUCCAUGCAACGCGAAGAACCUUACCAGGUCUUGACAUCCUGAGAAUCUUGUAGAGAUACGAGAGCGCCUUCGGGAGCGCAGUGACAGGUGCUGCAUGGCUGUCGUCAGCUCGUGUCGUGAGAUGUUGGGUUAAGUCCCGUAACGAGCGCAACCCUUGUCCUUAUUUGCCAGCACGUAAUGGUGGGAACUCUAAGGAGACUGCCGGUGACAAACCGGAAGAAGGUGAGGACGACGUCAAGUCAUCAUGGCCCUUACGAGUAGGGCUACACACGUGCUACAAUGGCCGGUACAGAGGGCUGCUAAACCGCGAGGUGGCGCUAAUGUCAGAAAACCGGUCGUAGUCCGGAUCGGAGUCUGCAACUCGACUCCGUGAAGUCGGAAUCGCUAGUAAUCGUGAAUCAGAAUGUCGCGGUGAAUACGUUCCCGGGCCUUGUACACACCGCCCGUCACACCAUGGGAGUUGGCUGCACCAGAAGUAGAUUGCCCGACCUUCGGGGGGGCGUUUACCACGGUGUGGUUAAUGACUGGGGUGAAGUCGUAACAAGGU